CUGGGCGUAAAGCGCACGCAGGCGGUCUGUCAAGUCGGAUGUGAAAUCCCCGGGCUCAACCUGGGAACUGCAUUCGAAACUGGCAGGCUGGAGUCUUGUAGAGGGGGGUAGAAUUCCAGGUGUAGCGGUGAAAUGCGUAGAGAUCUGGAGGAAUACCGGUGGCGAAGGCGGCCCCCUGGACAAAGACUGACGCUCAGGUGCGAAAGCGUGGGGAGCAAACAGGAUUAGAUACCCUGGUAGUCCACGCUGUAAACGAUGUCGACUUGGAGGUUGUUCCCUUGAGGAGUGGCUUCCGGAGCUAACGCGUUAAGUCGACCGCCUGGGGAGUACGGCCGCAAGGUUAAAACUCAAAGGAAUUGACG
rnacentral:rRNA from 1 species